rnacentral:rRNA from 1 species
AUUGAACGCUGGCGGCAUGCCUUACACAUGCAAGUCGAACGGCAGCACGGGUGCUUGCACCUGGUGGCGAGUGGCGAACGGGUGAGUAAUACAUCGGAACAUGUCCUGUAGUGGGGGAUAGCCCGGCGAAAGCCGGAUUAAUACCGCAUACGAUCUAUGGAUGAAAGCGGGGGACCUUCGGGCCUCGCGCUAUAGGGUUGGCCGAUGGCUGAUUAGCUAGUUGGUGGGGUAAAGGCCUACCAAGGCGACGAUCAGUAGCUGGUCUGAGAGGACGACCAGCCACACUGGGACUGAGACACGGCCCAGACUCCUACGGGAGGCAGCAGUGGGGAAUUUUGGACAAUGGGCGAAAGCCUGAUCCAGCAAUGCCGCGUGUGUGAAGAAGGCCUUCGGGUUGUAAAGCACUUUUGUCCGGAAAGAAAUCCUUGGUUCUAAUACAGUCCGGGGGAUGACGGUACCGGAAGAAUAAGCACCGGCUAACUACGUGCCAGCAGCCGCGGUAAUACGUAGGGUGCGAGCGUUAAUCGGAAUUACUGGGCGUAAAGCGUGCGCAGGCGGUUUGCUAAGACCGAUGUGAAAUCCCCGGGCUCAACCUGGGAACUGCAUUGGUGACUGGCAGGCUAGAGUAUGGCAGAGGGGGGUAGAAUUCCACGUGUAGCAGUGAAAUGCGUAGAGAUGUGGAGGAAUACCGAUGGCGAAGGCAGCCCCCUGGGCCAAUACUGACGCUCAUGCACGAAAGCGUGGGG